CGGGGUUUAGCUCAGCUGGGAGAGCACCUGCUUUGCAAGCAGGGGGUCGUCGGUUCGAUCCCGUCAACCUCCACCA
rnacentral:tRNA from 1 species